rnacentral:rRNA from 1 species
UAAGGAAUAUUGGACAAUGGAGGCAACUCUGAUCCAGCCAUGCCGCGUGACGGAAUAAGGCCCUAUGGGUUGUAAACUUCUUUUAGACGGGACAAAACCCCUUUACGUGUAAAGGGUUGAUGGUACUGUCAGAAUAAGCAUCGGCUAACUUCGUGCCAGCAGCCGCGGUAAUACGAAGGAUGCAAGCGUUAUCCGGAAUUAUUGGGUUUAAAGGGUGCGUAGGCGGACUAAUAAGUCAGUGGUGAAAGCCUGCAGCUUAACUGCAGAAUUGCCAUUGAUACUGUUAGUCUUGAGUACAGUUGAGGUAGGCGGAAUGUGUCAUGUAGCGGUGAAAUGCUUAGAUAUGACACAGAACACCGAUUGCGAAGGCAGCUUGCUAAGCUGUAACUGACGCUGAGGCACGAAAGCGUGGGGAGCAAACA